AUUGAACGCUGGCGCCAGGCUUAACACAUGCAAGUCGAUCGACCGGCGGACGGGUGAUUAAUUUCUGGGAAACUGCCUGAUGGAGGGGGAUAACUACUGGAAACGGUAGCUAAUACCGCAUACCAUCAGAUGUGCCCAGAUGGGAUUAGCUAGGAGGUGGGGUAAUGGCUCACCUAGGCGACGAUCCCUAGCUGGUCUGAGAGGAUGACCAGCCACACUGGAACGGAGACACGGGCCAGACUCCUACGGGAGGCAGCAGGGGGGAAUAUUGCACAAUGGGCGCAAGCCUGAGGCAGCCAUGCCGCGUGUGUGAAGAAGGCCUUCGGGUUGUAAAGGACUUUCAGCGAGGAGGAGUUACUCGCAGAAGAAGCACCGGCUAACUCCGUGCCAGCAGCCGCGGUAAUUC
rnacentral:rRNA from 1 species